UUAAAUUGAAGAGUUUGAUCAUGGCUCAGAUUGAACGCUGGCGGCAGGCCUAACACAUGCAAGUCGAGCGGCAGCGGGAAAGUAGCUUGCUACUUUUGCCGGCGAGC
rnacentral:rRNA from 1 species